AUUGAACGCUGGCGGCAGGCCUAACACAUGCAAGUAGACCGAGUGGCGGACGGGUGAGUAAUGUAUGGGAAACUGCCCGAUGGAGGGGGAUAACUACUGGAAACGGUAGCUAAUACCGCAUACCAUCGGAUGUGCACAGAUGGGAUUAGCUUGUAGGUGAGGUAACGCCACACCUAGUCGACGAUCCCUAGCUGGUCUGAGAGGAUGACCAGCCACGCUGGGACUGAGACACGGUUCUGACUCCGGCGGUAUGCAGCAGUGGUGAAUAUGGCACAAUGCGCGCGAGCCUGAUGUAGCCAUGCAGCGUGUAUGAAGAAGGCCUUCAGGUUGUAAAGUACGGUCAGCGGUAAGGCGUUUCCCACACAAGAAGCUCCGGCUAACUCCGUGCCAGCAGGCGCGGUAAUUC
rnacentral:rRNA from 1 species